UGGGGAAUAUUGCACAAUGGGCGCAAGCCUGAUGCAGCCAUGCCGCGUGUAUGAAGAAGGCCUUCGGGUUGUAAAGUACUUUCAGCGAGGAGGAAGGCGUUGUGGUUAAUAACCGCAACGAUUGACGUUACUCGCAGAAGAAGCACCGGCUAACUCCGUGCCAGCAGCCGCGGUAAUACGGAGGGUGCAAGCGUUAAUCGGAAUUACUGGGCGUAAAGCGCACGCAGUCGGUCUGUCAAGUCGGAUGUGAAAUCCCCGGGCUCAACCUGGGAACUGCAUCCGAAACUGGCAGGCUAGAGUCUUGUAGAGGGGGGUAGAAUUCCAGGUGUAGCGGUGAAAUGCGUAGAGAUCUGGAGGAAUACCGGUGGCGAAGGCGGCCCCCUGGACAAAGACUGACGCUCAGGUGCGAAAGCGUGGGGAGCAAACA
rnacentral:rRNA from 1 species